rnacentral:rRNA from 1 species
GAUGAACGCUGGCGGCGUGCUUAACACAUGCAAGUCGAACGAUGAAGCCCAGCUUGCUGGGUGGAUUAGUGGCGAACGGGUGAGUAACACGUGAGUAACCUGCCCUUAACUCUGGGAUAAGCCUGGGAAACUGGGUCUAAUACCGGAUAGGAGCGUCCACCGCAUGGUGGGUGUGGGAAAGAUUUAUCGGUUUUGGAUGGACUCGCGGCCUAUCAGCUUGUUGGUGAGGUAAUGGCUCACCAAGGCGACGACGGGUAGCCGGCCUGAGAGGGUGACCGGCCACACUGGGACUGAGACACGGCCCAGACUCCUACGGGAGGCAGCAGUGGGGAAUAUUGCACAAUGGGCGCAAGCCUGAUGCAGCGACGCCGCGUGAGGGAUGACGGCCUUCGGGUUGUAAACCUCUUUCAGUAGGGAAGAAGCGAAAGUGACGGUACCUGCAGAAGAAGCACCGGCUAACUACGU